GCAGGGGUAGCCAAGCCGGUCAAGGCGGUGGACUCAAGAUCCACUCUCGAAGGAGUUCGGGGGUUCGAAUCCCUCCCCCUGCACCA
rnacentral:tRNA from 1 species